rnacentral:rRNA from 1 species
AGCAUGGCCCCCCACAAUGGGACUGGAACACGGCCCAUACUCCUACGGGAGGCAGCAGCAGGGAAUAUUGCACAAUGGACGGAAGUCUGAUGCAGCGACGCCGCGUGGAUGAAGAAGGCCCUCGGGUUGUAAAAUCCUUUACAGGGGGAAGAGGAAGGACGGUACCCCUGGAACAAGUGUCGGCUAACUACGUGCCAGCAGCCGCGGUAAGACGUAGGACACAAGCGUUAUCCGGAUUUACUGGGCGUAAAGCGUCUGCAGGCGGACAGGUAAGUUGGGCGUGAAGCUCCGGGCCCAACCCGGAGAGGUCGUUCAAUACUGCGUGUCUAGAGGGUGUCAGAAGGGAGUGGAAUUUCCGGAGUACCGGUAAAAUGCGCAGAGAUCGGAAAGAACACCAAUGGCGAAGGCAGCUCACUGGGGCAACCCUGACGCUAAGAGACGAAAAGCUAGGGGAGCGAACAGGAUUAGAGACCCUGGUAGUCCUAGCCCUAAACGAUGGAUGCUGGAUGUGGGGCCAUAGCGCUCCGUGUCGAAGCGAACGCGUUAAGCAUCCCGCCUGGGGACUACGGCCGCAAGGUUAAAACUCAAACGAAUUGACGGGACCCCGCACAAGCAGCGGAGCGUGUGGUUUAAUUCGAUGCUACACGAAGAACCUUACCUGGGUUUGACAUCUAGGUGGUAGUGAAAGCGAAAGCGGAGCGACCCUUCGGGGAGCCUAGACAGGUGCUGCAUGGCUGUCGUCAGCUCGUGCCGUGAGGUGUCGGGUUAAGUCCCGUAACGAGCGCAACCCUUGCCCUCCGUUAUACGUGUCAGAGGGGACUGCCGGCGGUAAGCCGGAGGAAGGUGGGGAUGACGUCAAGUCAGCAUGGCCUUUAUAUCCAGGGCUACACACACGCUACAAUGGCCAGUACAAAGGGCAGCGAAGCCGCGAGGUGGAGCGAAUCCCAGCAAAGCUGGUCGUAGUUCGGAUUGCAGGCUGCAACCCGCCUGCAUGAAGCUGGAGUUGCUAGUAACCGCGCGUCAGCCAUAGUGCGGUGAAUACGUUCCCGGGGUUUGUACACACCGCCCGUCACGUCAUGGGAGUCG